UGGUUAUUUAAAAAAAAAAGAAUAAAAUUUUCCGUAUCAAGUUAGUUAACUAGUCGGAUAAAACAACCGUACGAUUGACGAGAUAUCGACACGCAAUUACGACUACAUCGGGUUACUGUAGUUUUGGUCCUUAGACAUAUCUUGACUGCAAAUCGGAGAAGGUGACAAAAUGGCCGACCGCAGAGAAUUGAUACUCUAAAUUUAAAAUCGAUGGUGAUCUCUUAUCUAGCAGAAUAAAACUUUAAUAUCUAUGAAUUUGAGCAUUUUUAUACAGAAUAAACAUAAUAUCAAUUUUUGAUUUUUUUGCGAAGUUUCCCUUUAA
rnacentral:lncRNA from 1 species